rnacentral:rRNA from 1 species
UACGGAGGGGGCUAGCGUUGUUCGGAAUUACUGGGCGUAAAGCGCACGUAGGCGGCUUUGUAAGUUAGAGGUGAAAGCCCGGGGCUCAACUCCGGAAUUGCCUUUAAGACUGCAUCGCUAGAAUUUGUGGAGAGGUAAGUGGAAUUCCGAGUGUAGAGGUGAAAUUCGUAGAUAUUCGGAAGAACACCAGUGGCGAAGGCGACUUACUGGACACAUAUUGACGCUGAGGUGCGAAAAGCGUGGGGGAGCAAACAGG